AAGUGGGAGACACAGAAUCCGAAGCAGAGGGGAAAAACCACAUUACCUGUCAACACUGAGAGCGCAGAGAUUGAGGACGGUGAUCCCCACCGAGGACUUCUGCAAAAAGGGGAACAGCUUGCAAAGAAAUACUCCAAAGUCAUUGUUUUCAAAAGGCCAACGCCCAGCCAGCAGCUGAAAAAAGGAGACACCACGGAGUGAGCAUUGAUUCUUCUUGGGAAUUAAAGACACAGGGAAAUUUUUAGAGGAAAUCAUUAGAGGAAAUUUCCGGACAAUCACAGGAGACUUCUAUAACCUGUAUCCACUUCAUUCUGAAAGAAUGUAUGGAAAGUAACUGUCCUAAUGUAGCCAGGGGAAAUUAGGCCACUGCCUGUGGCAACUUCUUCCUUUUCUGAUUAAAGAUGGCUUCCUCAAAGAGGCCCCCAUUAACUACCCAAUCUCAAAUAGGUCUUGUUUGUUAAUCUCUUUCUUCAUGGAACCAAUGUGGGAGUAAUUUUACAUUCCAAGUCUCA